AAAAACAUUGCCUCUAGCUCAAUUUAUUAGAGGUUCAUCCUGCCCAGUGACGUACGCGUUAAACGGCCGCGGUACCCUGACCGUGCUAAGGUAGCAUAAUCAUUUGCCUUUUAAUUGAAGGCUUGUAUGAACGGAUAAACGAAGAUAUAGCUGUCUCUUUAAUACCCAUAAAAAUUAAUCUUCAGGUGCAGAGGCCUGAAUUUAUUAAAAAGACGAAAAGACCCUGUGGAGCUUUACUUGUCAUUAUACUUUAUUUAUUCUAAAAAUAUUUUUAUUUAUAAAAAAAGUUUAGUUGGGGCGACUAAGGAGUAAAACAAAACCUCCUUUUUUUAUACGAAUAAUAAUUCAAUAAAUCAUCCACAUUAGUGAAUAUAGAAUCAGCUACCCCAGGGAUAACAGGCUAAUCCUUCUUACGAGUUCACAUUUACAGAAGGGGUUGGCACCUCGAUGUUGGCUUAAGGUAUCUUCAAGGUGCAGCAGCUUUGAUUAGUGGGUUUGUUCAACCCUUAAAACCUUACGUGAUCU
rnacentral:rRNA from 1 species